AUAAUGGGAGAUGUGGAUAUUUACUAAAGCCCGAAUUUCUGCGUAAUGAAGACUGCAGCUUUGUUCCUCAUGGACGCAAACACAGGACACAACAGAUAUUUUUCACCAUUAAGGUGAUCAGCGGCUUCCUCCUGCCACAUGAAAGUAUCUGCAAAACCAAGCCCAGCCUGAUAGUGAAGGUGGAGAUUUAGGGGGUUCCAGUCGAUGAGGGGCGGAAACAAACACAAGUGGUGAACAACGCAUUUAACCCCCAGUGGAACCAGUCACUGGACUUUAUCAUCCAGGUCCCGGAGCUGGCACUGGUACGGAUCUCUUUGGAGGAUCAGCUGUUAAUGGUUUCCAACGAGUUCCUGGGACAGUACACUCUGCCGCUGACCAGCAUGAG